GGACGAACGCUGGCGGCGUGCUUAACACAUGCAAGUCGAACGGAAAGGCCCUGCUUUUGUGGGGUGCUCGAGUGGCGAACGGGUGAGUAACACGUGAGUAACCUGCCCUUGACUUUGGGAUAACUUUAGGAAACUGGGGCUAAUACCGGAUAGGAGCUCCUGCUGCAUGGUGGGGGUUGGAAAGUUUCGGCGGUUGGGGAUGGACUCGCGGCUUAUCAGCUUGUUGGUGGGGUAGUGGCUUACCAAGGCUUUGACGGGUAGCCGGCCUGAGAGGGUGACCGGCCACAUUGGGACUGAGAUACGGCCCAGACUCCUACGGGAGGCAGCAGUGGGGAAUAUUGCACAAUGGGCGGAAGCCUGAUGCAGCAACGCCGCGUGCGGGAUGACGGCCUUCGGGUUGUAAACCGCUUUCGCCUGUGACGAAGCGUGAGUGACGGUAAUGGGUAAAGAAGCACCGGCUAACUACGUG
rnacentral:rRNA from 1 species